rnacentral:rRNA from 1 species
GACAGAGGGGGGCAAGCGUUGCUCGGAAUUACUGGGCGUAAAGGGCGCGUAGGCGGGGAUGGCAAGUCGGUCGUGAAAUCCCUCGGCUCAACCGAGGAACGUCGAUCGAUACUGCUGUUCUUGAGGAUUGCAGAGGAGACUGGAAUUCCUGGUGUAGCGGUGAAAUGCGCAGAUAUCAGGAAGAACACCCGUGGCGAAGGCGGCUCUCUGGUACGUGACUGACGCUGAGACGCGAAAGCCGUGGGGAGCAAACAGG